rnacentral:lncRNA from 1 species
UAAUGUGAGAGUAUUUGGUCUUUGGGGGGGGGCGUUCCAUGGUUCUUGCAGUUGAACUUCGGUUUCCUUAUUUACUUGGUUCCUGUUUAUCUCCUGUCGGUUGUAAAGAACAGAACCGAUUUCCAAAGCUCUUGAAAGCGAUUUGCUUUUUGCUUAGAGUUCCAGGGUUUUUAUAGCUACAUGGCAUUUUAACACUCCUCUAUUCCAGCUCCUCCUUUUAAAAAUAAAGAAGCCGAGGUUGGAAGCAUUAAGUGGCCUACCUAGGUUCACAAAGUAAGUUAGGGACACCCUGGAUUCCCCUUCAGGAAAAACCAUGCUCAAUUCUGUCCUUUCGCCUACAACAUUUAAUUUUUUUUUUCCUGUUAAAAUUGCAAUAAUGUAUAGGUGUUUUUUCUGAAUAUAGUUACAAAAUAUUCAUUGAUAACACUCAGAAAACUCAAACAUAUUUUGAGGUAGAUAUUUUAAAAUUUACCUAUAUUCACACCAAUCAAAGAUAACUUUGCUUUUAAUAUUCUAUUGUAUGUCCUUCCAACCUUUUGUCUACACCUAUGAAGAAAGAGAGAUGUAAACACUUUCUCUGAAAAAUAAAGGGCAAUGGUAUUCCCUCUUUUCAAAAGUUCAUUUGAUGCCACUUUGCUUUUACGCAAGACCUGCACUAGUACCUGUUUUCUCAACUGAAACCCAAAGGGAAUUUUUCACUUUUACAAAAAAAAGGCAAAAAAGUGGAAAUAGGGGGCAGAGCCUAUGCCACAACCAUGGAAUGUGGGAUCCCAGCUGCUUCUGUGACCUACACCACAGCUCACGGCAAUGCUGGAUCCUUAACCCACUGAGCGAGGCCAGGGACUGAAUCCGCAUCCUUAUGGAUACUAGUUAGGUUCAUUACCACUGAGUCACAAUGGAAACUCCGAAAAGAAGGAUUUUUAACAAUUUUAUGUUACUUCGAAAAUAAAAUGGCUCUUGAAUAUCUUAACUAUUACACUCUCGUUUUAUUCCUGGCCCUUUUCUCCCCCCUGGGUAUGACUCCUAAAAACUUUUAAAAGUAAAAAAAAAAAUAUUUGGCGAGAUAUGAAAAAUGACAGAAUAUUGAGGAAACAAGUCUUUUUAAUGUUUCAUAGCCAAGGUGUGGCAAAUUGAAUCAAGUUUUAUAUGAUAAUAUUCAAGUUUUUCAUACCAGAUCAGGAUGGAUAAUAUUAUUUCUACAUCAAGAUAGAUUUGUAAAUUAAAUAGAUUUCUUAUCAUUUAAAUUUGCCCUCCUGCCAAAUGUAUGCUUACUUAUAGAUACCAGCCUGCAUGGCUUUAAAAUACUAAGUCAAUCACUAGUUCUUCUGUUAGCAUCCAUUCAUCCAUUUAUUCAUCUGUUCAUUCACCUCCUUGCCUUCUAAGCAUAAUGCCAAGCACCAUGAUGCUGGAGAUAGGCAUUGUCUUUGCUUUCAGGGUACUCAUACAUUAGCUGAAGAGCUGGGUCAAUGAAUAGUUCAUCCAUUAUAAGGUAGAGCAUCUUUUGGAAUAAUGGGAAGGCAUUAUUCACAGCCUUCCCAGUGAAAAUGAAGGGGGAGGGAUUUUAAUGAACAGAGGACAAUCCAGGCCAAGAGGACAGCAAAGACAAGGAGGAAUAGAAGUACCUGGAGUACUCAAGAAAUGCCACUCUGGUUGGCCGAAGGGGAGGGUGGAAGGAGAAAAAGAAAUAAGAGUUGUCAGGCUAUAAAGGAAGAGACACUUCUUUAUUUGCCAUAUUUAAAUACAAAGGGACAGAGAGAAACGUCUCUUUUACCUGAUCCUGCUGGUGUUGGUAAUUCAGGUGGGCAACUAGUGAUUAUCAAGAUGUAAGUUGAACUGGAGACCAGGGAGUUUUAAGUUCUGAUAUCUUCGUGUUAAUUAGUGUUAUGUAUUAGUGUCUUUUUAUCUUACUUUGCUUUUUGAACAUAGGCCUUGUUUCUCCGGCGGUAAAAUGGAAGUGCUGGAAUAGAACAUAAAACAUAUCUGCAGUAUUUAGAUUGCAACAAAGAAGGUAUUAGUAACUCUUUGUUGGUGUUUGCAUUGAACUAGUUUUUGCAAUUUUUAGGCUUUCCUCUCUCACAUUCAGAGAACAUAAAAUUUAGAGUAAUACUUCUGUUAGUUGGAUUAAUGGAGACUUUCUGAAAUUAUUAUUGAAAGAGAAAUGCAGCUUUAUUACUUUCAUAUACGUAAUUCGAAUUAAGCUAAUAAAGAAUUGCCUAAUAGAUGCCCUGAUGAACCUGCUUUAAUGAAUACAUGAAAAUAAUUUGUAAUUAGAAUAAUAAUUUUAUGCAAAUGAAGGCUGGCGAGGUUUUCAAGUGCCCAAAGAUAGUUUGUUUCUGAAAUGAGAUAAAAAUGCCUCUUAGAGUUAUACAAACUGAUUCUUGCAUUUGCAUAGAACUGCCUCAUUUUUCAAAGUGUAAUUCUUUAAAAAACACCUUCUGAUUUGUUUCUUACAACAACCUCAUCAUUAACAGAACUUAAAUGAUUUGCCAUAGGUCACAAAAUUAGUGCUUGUUUAAACCAAAGACCCUUAAUUAUUAGUUUAUUCUCUAUCCCAGUUUCUUCUAUUAAUUCUUGGUGUUUUCUGCUUUUAUUAUUUAGGGUACAGGUGGCCAUGUGUUUUUGGACUUUGCAUAAAUUCAGGGAGGAUUAAGAUUCAAGGAACCUUGAUUAUUUUUCCGAAAAUGUGUGUGAUAUGACCUUACUUCAUGACUGUCUCAAUAAAUUGAAAAGACCCACAAACUAUGAUGCUGAAAACAAAUCUUUAAUCUUGUGGUUUGGGGAUUAAGGUAAAUUUUUCUCAUUUAGAAGUUAUCAUUUUAGUUCUUCAAUUAUUAGCACGAUGGGAACUCUUUAAUUAUGUACAGAAGACUACAUCUCUUAAACAGUUGGAAAGUCAUCCAAAAUGACAUCUCUUUGUUAAGAAUAUAUCCCAUAAAGGAACAGGUAACUUUGUAUUCUCUCUCCUUAUUGUCUACUUUAAUGAAUAGAUCUGGAAAACUUAAUGCUUUCAGAGGUUUGCAGUAAUUUUCGGCUUUUCCUUUAGCUACUGCCAGAUAGACUGACCAAAUCCAUUAUUGCAAGGUUAAGUAAUAAGAGGUAAGAGCAGGCACCUAAAAUUGGUAUUUUUUGAAGAAUUUUAUAAAUAUAAUUACACACAUAUCAGAGUGAUUUUACACAUUUGGUAAAAAUAUUGCACUUUCUUCUAAAUACAUAGAUUUUUAAAAGAUGAAAAAUGGCAACUCCAUGCCCUAAAUACAUGAGCAACGUAGAACAUCCCUGUAUCAUUUUCUCGUUAUAUUUUAGAAUUGGUGUAAAAGUCUUUCAGGUCAUUGCAUUAAGAUUUUUUUUUUCCCCCCGCUGGAAAUAACAGGUAUAGUUUCUUGUUCCUCUCUGUCUUUUAUAUAGACUUUAAAAGCCUGUGACAUGCAUACUCAGUGCAGCAUUAUACUUCAGCUGCAACAUAAUGAUUUUACAGUAUUAGAAGUAGCUUUGUAAAUUCCUUCGCACUGCACAAAGCUCUUCUCAGCUACUUAAUAUAAGACUUUGUCUGUCUGUCUUCCAUGACAACUCUUGAAGAAACUGAUGGAAUUUUUUACAUUUUUUUAAAUGAACAAAAAUAUAAUGAGAGUUCUAGAUAGGAUGGAGCUACUUGUGGUAGAAUUGUGCUCCUGUUGAGAACAGCUAGAAAAUACGGAUAACUAUUUAAAUAAUUCUGCUUAAAUGCGUCAGAAAGUUUUUGAAGUAAUGAGAACUAGAAUGGUUAAAAUUUCAGAGAUGGGGAAACCACGGAAAUCUGAGUUCAUGAUUGAUCUUUCCUCUUUCCCUCAGGAGAUUUUGCUACUUCUGGGUCAUUGGUAGGAAGCAGAGAAUGGGGGCUCUGCCAAGGCAGUGGCUGCUAGUAAGGGAAGGAGAAACAUAUAGAACUUCUUGUGGACUAAAAAAAAAAAUGGUGUCUUAGCUUGAGGAAUGUCAGCAAAUUGUCUGUUUACCUGUUUACUCCCCAAUGCAUUUGCUAAAUUCUGAAAGUGAAUGGAGAUGAUAAAAUAUAUCAUCUCACUGGAGUUCCCGUUGUGGCUCAGCAGAAAAUGUGUGUGAUAUGACCUUACUUCAUGACUGUCUCAAUAAAUUGAAAAGACCCAUAAACUAUGAUGCUGAAAACAAAGCUUUAAGUGAAGAAUUUCUUUGCUACAUUCUGAAAGAAAGAGAAAAAGAGACAAAGAGAAAAAGAAAAGCAAGCAACGUUAAAACUUUUGGGAAGUAGAGUUGAAAAAGCAAGGCUAAUGUCGAACUGUUGAGAAAAUGAAUCUGGUGAUCGUACUAGAUGUUCAACUGGAAGCUACACAAGACUAAACUCUAGGGGGCCCCAGGGGGAGUAGACAUUUAGAGAUUGAUGGAGCUUUGCAAAACUAUAGCCAGCUUCAAAGCAGGUUAGUUCUUGAUUGGAUAAAGGCAAUCAACUCUUGACUCUUUCUGCCC